CAUGCAAUUACGCAGCGGCCGUGUGCCGGCUGCGUGGCGAACGGCUGAGUGAACACGUGGGUGACCACCCCCGGAGUGGGGGAUACCCCGAUCGAAAGACGGGACAAUCCCGCAUACKCUCUACGGAGGAAAGCCGCAACGGUCGCCACUUGACGGGCCUGCGGCCCAUCAGGUAGUUGGUGUGGUAACGGCGCACCAAGCCAGUGACGGGUACCCGGUCUGAGAGGACGGCCGGGCAGACUGGGACUGCGACACGGCCCAGACUCCUACGGGAGGCAGCASCAAGGAAUUUUCCCCAAUGGGCGCAAGCCUGAAGGAGCAACGCCGCGUGGAGGACGACGGCCUUCGGGUUGUAAACUCCUUUCGGGUGGGACGAGCAUGACGGUACCACCAUAAGCAGCCCCGGCUAACUCUGUGCCAGCAGCCGCGGUAAGACAGAGGGGGCAAGCGUUGUCCGGAGUUACUGGGCGUAAAGGGCGCGGAGGCGGCCUGCUGCGUC
rnacentral:rRNA from 1 species